rnacentral:rRNA from 1 species
GGUUAAGCGACUAAGCGUACACGGUGGAUGCCCUGGCAGUCAGAGGCGAUGAAGGACGUGCUAAUCUGCGAUAAGCGUCGGUAAGGUGAUAUGAACCGUUAUAACCGGCGAUUUCCGAAUGGGGAAACCCAGUGUGUUUCGACACACUAUCAUUAACUGAAUCCAUAGGUUAAUGAGGCGAACCGGGGGAACUGAAACAUCUAAGUACCCCGAGGAAAAGAAAUCAACCGAGAUUCCCCCAGUAGCGGCGAGCGAACGGGGAGCAGCCCAGAGCCUGAAUCAGUGUGUGUGUUAGUGGAAGCGUCUGGAAAGGCGCGCGAUACAGGGUGACAGCCCCGUACACAAAAAUGCACAUGCUGUGAGCUCGAUGAGUAGGGCGGGACACGUGGUAUCCUGUCUGAAUAUGGGGGGACCAUCCUCCAAGGCUAAAUACUCCUGACUGACCGAUAGUGAACCAGUACCGUGAGGGAAAGGCGAAAAGAACCCCGGCGAGGGGAGUGAAAAAGAACCUGAAACCGUGUACGUACAAGCAGUGGGAGCACGCUUAGGCGUGUGACUGCGUACCUUUUGUAUAAUGGGUCAGCGACUUAUAUUCUGUAGCAAGGUUAACCGAAUAGGGGAGCCGAAGGGAAACCGAGUCUUAACUGGGCGUUAAGUUGCAGGGUAUAGACCCGAAACCCGGUGAUCUAGCCAUGGGCAGGUUGAAGGUUGGGUAACACUAACUGGAGGACCGAACCGACUAAUGUUGAAAAAUUAGCGGAUGACUUGUGGCUGGGGGUGAAAGGCCAAUCAAACCGGGAGAUAGCUGGUUCUCCCCGAAAGCUAUUUAGGUAGCGCCUCGUGAAUUCAUCUCCGGGGGUAGAGCACUGUUUCGGCAAGGGGGUCAUCCCGACUUACCAACCCGAUGCAAACUGCGAAUACCGGAGAAUGUUAUCACGGGAGACACACGGCGGGUGCUAACGUCCGUCGUGAAGAGGGAAACAACCCAGACCGCCAGCUAAGGUCCCAAAGUCAUGGUUAAGUGGGAAACGAUGUGGGAAGGCCCAGACAGCCAGGAUGUUGGCUUAGAAGCAGCCAUCAUUUAAAGAAAGCGUAAUAGCUCACUGGUCGAGUCGGCCUGCGCGGAAGAUGUAACGGGGCUAAACCAUGCACCGAAGCUGCGGCAGCGACACUAUGUGUUGUUGGGUAGGGGAGCGUUCUGUAAGCCUGCGAAGGUGUGCUGUGAGGCAUGCUGGAGGUAUCAGAAGUGCGAAUGCUGACAUAAGUAACGAUAAAGCGGGUGAAAAGCCCGCUCGCCGGAAGACCAAGGGUUCCUGUCCAACGUUAAUCGGGGCAGGGUGAGUCGACCCCUAAGGCGAGGCCGAAAGGCGUAGUCGAUGGGAAACAGGUUAAUAUUCCUGUACUUGGUGUUACUGCGAAGGGGGGACGGAGAAGGCUAUGUUGGCCGGGCGACGGUUGUCCCGGUUUAAGCGUGUAGGCUGGUUUUCCAGGCAAAUCCGGAAAAUCAAGGCUGAGGCGUGAUGACGAGGCACUACGGUGCUGAAGCAACAAAUGCCCUGCUUCCAGGAAAAGCCUCUAAGCAUCAGGUAACAUCAAAUCGUACCCCAAACCGACACAGGUGGUCAGGUAGAGAAUACCAAGGCGCUUGAGAGAACUCGGGUGAAGGAACUAGGCAAAAUGGUGCCGUAACUUCGGGAGAAGGCACGCUGAUAUGUAGGUGAAGUCCCUCGCGGAUGGAGCUGAAAUCAGUCGAAGAUACCAGCUGGCUGCAACUGUUUAUUAAAAACACAGCACUGUGCAAACACGAAAGUGGACGUAUACGGUGUGACGCCUGCCCGGUGCCGGAAGGUUAAUUGAUGGGGUUAGCCGCAAGGCGAAGCUCUUGAUCGAAGCCCCGGUAAACGGCGGCCGUAACUAUAACGGUCCUAAGGUAGCGAAAUUCCUUGUCGGGUAAGUUCCGACCUGCACGAAUGGCGUAAUGAUGGCCAGGCUGUCUCCACCCGAGACUCAGUGAAAUUGAACUCGCUGUGAAGAUGCAGUGUACCCGCGGCAAGACGGAAAGACCCCGUGAACCUUUACUAUAGCUUGACACUGAACAUUGAGCCUUGAUGUGUAGGAUAGGUGGGAGGCUUUGAAGUGUGGACGCCAGUCUGCAUGGAGCCGACCUUGAAAUACCACCCUUUAAUGUUUGAUGUUCUAACGUUGACCCGUAAUCCGGGUUGCGGACAGUGUCUGGUGGGUAGUUUGACUGGGGCGGUCUCCUCCUAAAGAGUAACGGAGGAGCACGAAGGUUGGCUAAUCCUGGUCGGACAUCAGGAGGUUAGUGCAAUGGCAUAAGCCAGCUUGACUGCGAGCGUGACGGCGCGAGCAGGUGCGAAAGCAGGUCAUAGUGAUCCGGUGGUUCUGAAUGGAAGGGCCAUCGCUCAACGGAUAAAAGGUACUCCGGGGAUAACAGGCUGAUACCGCCCAAGAGUUCAUAUCGACGGCGGUGUUUGGCACCUCGAUGUCGGCUCAUCACAUCCUGGGGCUGAAGUAGGUCCCAAGGGUAUGGCUGUUCGCCAUUUAAAGUGGUACGCGAGCUGGGUUUAGAACGUCGUGAGACAGUUCGGUCCCUAUCUGCCGUGGGCGCUGGAGAACUGAGGGGGGCUGCUCCUAGUACGAGAGGACCGGAGUGGACGCAUCACUGGUGUUCGGGUUGUCAUGCCAAUGGCACUGCCCGGUAGCUAAAUGCGGAAGAGAUAAGUGCUGAAAGCAUCUAAGCACGAAACUUGCCCCGAGAUGAGUUCUCCCUGACUCCUUGAGAGUCCUGAAGGAACGUUGAAGACGACGACGUUGAUAGGCCGGGUGUGUAAGCGCAGCGAUGCGUUGAGCUAACCGGUACUAAUGAACCGUGAGGCUUAACCUU